rnacentral:tRNA from 1 species
AAAUUUAGUAAGCUUUAAGCUUUUGGAUUCAUAAUUCAAUGAUAGAUUUAUAU